CUAGCUUGCUAGAAGAUGACGAGUGGCGGACGGGUGAGUAAUGCUUGGGAACUUGCCUUUGCGAGGGGGAUAACAGUUGGAAACGACUGCUAAUACCGCAUAAUGUCUUCGGACCAAACGGGGCUUAGGCUCCGGCGCAAAGAGAGGCCCAAGUGAGAUUAGCUAGUUGGUAAGGUAACGGCUUACCAAGGCGACGAUCUCUAGCUGUUCUGAGAGGAAGAUCAGCCACACUGGGACUGAGACACGGCCCAGACUCCUACGGGAGGCAGCAGUGGGGAAUAUUGCACAAUGGGGGAAACCCUGAUGCAGCCAUGCCGCGUGUGUGAAGAAGGCCUUCGGGUUGUAAAGCACUUUCAGUUGUGAGGAAAAGUUAGUAGUUAAUACCUGCUAGCCGUGACGUUAACAACAGAAGAAGCACCGGCUAACUCCGUGCCAGCAGCCGCGGUAAUACGGAGGGUGCGAGCGUUAAUCGGAAUUACUGGGCGUAAAGCGCACGCAGGCGGUUUGUUAAGCUAGAUGUGAAAGCCCCGGGCUCAACCUGGGAUGGUCAUUCAGAACUGGCAGACUAGAGUCUUGGAGAGGGGAGUGGAAUUCCAGGUGUAGCGGUGAAAUGCGUAGAUAUCUGGAGGAACAUCAGUGGCGAA
rnacentral:rRNA from 1 species